AUCCACGUAGUUUAUUCAAAACUCCUCAUUUUCGUUGAGGUGAAGAAUUUUUUAAUUCCUUGGAUU
rnacentral:tRNA from 1 species